GAAAAGAAACCAACAGGGAUUGCCCCAGUAACGGCGAGUGAAGCGGCAACAGCUCAAAUUUGAAAUCUGGCCCCCAGGGCCCGAGUUGUAAUUUGCAGAGGAUGCUUUUGGCGCGGUGCCUUCCGAGUUCCCUGGAACGGGACGCCAUAGAGGGUGAGAGCCCCGUCUGGUCGGACGCCUAGCCUGUGUAAAGCUCCUUCGACGAGUCGAGUAGUUUGGGAAUGCUGCUCUAAAUGGGAGGUAUAUGUCUUCUAAAGCUAAAUACCGGCCAGAGACCGAUAGCGCACAAGUAGAGUGAUCGAAAGAUGAAAAGCACUUUGAAAAGAGGGUUAAAUAGUACGUGAAAUUGUUGAAAGGGAAGCGCUUGUGACCAGACUUGGGCCCGGUGGAUCAUCCAGCGUUCUCGCUGGUGCACUCCGCCGGGUUCAGGCCAGCAUCAGUUCGCCGCGGGGGAAAAAGGCUUCGGGAACGUGGCUCCUACGGGAGUGUUAUAGCCCGUUGCAUAAUACCCUGGGGCGGACUGAGGUUCGCGCUCCGCAAGGAUGCUGGCGUAAUGGUCAUCAGG
rnacentral:rRNA from 1 species